rnacentral:rRNA from 1 species
GCAGAGCACUCCUAACGGGAGGCAGCAGUGGGGAAUAUUGCACAAUGGGCGCAAGCCUGAUGCAGCCAUGCCGCGUGUAUGAAGAAGGCCUUCGGGUUGUAAAGUACUUUCAGCAGUGAGGAAGGUGGGUAUGUUAAUAGCAUACUCAUUUGACGUUAGCUGCAGAAGAAGCACCGGCUAACUCCGUGCCAGCAGCCGCGGUAAUACGGAGGGUGCGAGCGUUAAUCGGAAUUACUGGGCGUAAAGCGCAUGCAGGUGGUUUGUUAAGUCAGAUGUGAAAGCCCGGGGCUCAACCUCGGAAUUGCAUUUGAAACUGGCAAACUAGAGUACUGUAGAGGGGGUAGAAUUUCAGGUGUAGCGGUGAAAUGCGUAGAGAUCUGAAGGAAUACCGGUGGCGAAGGCGGCCCCCUGGACAGAUACUGACACUCAGAUGCGAAAGCGUGGGGAGCAAACAGGAUUAGAUACCCUCGUAG